rnacentral:rRNA from 1 species
GUGUCAGCCGCCGCGGUAAUACGUAGGGACCAAGCGUUGUCCGGAAUCAUUGGGCGUAAAGAGCGUGUAGGCGGCUUGUUAAGUCUUGUGUGAAAUCUCGGGGCUCAACCCCGAGCGGUCAUGAGAAACUGGCAGGCUAGAGUGCGGGAGAGGAGAGUGGAAUUCCUGGUGUAGCGGUGAAAUGCGCAGAUAUCAGGAAGAACACCCGUGGCGAAGGCGGCUCUCUGGAACGCAACUGACGCUGAGACGCGAAAGCGUGGGGAGCAAACAGGAUUAGAUACCCCGGUAGUCC